UUCAUUUUAUCUGUCCUUAUUAAACGUACGUGUUAAAUCGUGAUCAAGACAAAAAAAUCUGCUCCUUAACAUCAUCUCUGUACAUUGCACUGAAAAUUCAAGCUUUUGAUCCAAAUUGUCGAUAACGGUAUAUCGUUUAGACUAAAUUAAUUCGAACGAUUUGCUUACCACUCUCCAAAUCCACAAAGCGUCCGUCUUAGAUGAGGCUUAAUAAACA
rnacentral:lncRNA from 1 species